rnacentral:rRNA from 1 species
GAUGAACGCUGGCGGCGUGCCUAAUACAUGCAAGUCGAGCGAACAGACGAGGAGCUUGCUCCUCUGACGUUAGCGGCGGACGGGUGAGUAACACGUGGAUAACCUACCUAUAAGACUGGGAUAACUUCGGGAAACCGGAGCUAAUACCGGAUAAUAUAUUGAACCGCAUGGUUCAAUAGUGAAAGACGGUUUUGCUGUCACUUAUAGAUGGAUCCGCGCCGCAUUAGCUAGUUGGUAAGGUAACGGCUUACCAAGGCAACGAUGCGUAGCCGACCUGAGAGGGUGUACGGCCACACUGGAACUGAGCCACGGUCCAGACUCCUACGGGAGGCAGCAGUAGGGAAUCUUCCGCAAUGGGCGGAAGCCUGACGGAGCAACGCCGCGUGAGUGAUGAAGGUCUUCGGAUCGUAAAACUCUGUUAUUAGGGAAGAACAAAUGUGUAAGUAACUAUGCACGUCUUGACGGUACCUAAUCAGAAAGCCACGGCUAACUACGUG